rnacentral:rRNA from 1 species
CCCAGACUCCUACGGGAGGCAGCAGUGGGGGAUAUUGCACAAUGGGGGGAACCCUGAUGCAGCGACGCCGCGUGGGUGAAGGAGUAUUUCGGUAUGUAAAGCCCUAUCGGCAGGGAAGAAAUUGGACGGUACCUGACUAAGAAGCCCCGGCUAACUGCGUGCCAGCAGCCGCGGUAAUACGUAGGGGGCAAGCGUUAUCCGGAUUCACUGGGUGUAAAGGGAGCGUAGACGGCCAGGCAAGCCUGGAGUGAAAGCCCGGGGCCCAACCCCGGGACUGCUCUGGGAACUGUCCGGCUGGAGUGCGGGAGGGGCAGGCGGAAUUCCUGGUGUAGCGGUGAAAUGCGUAGAUAUCAGGAGGAACACCGGUGGCGAAGGCGGCCUGCUGGACUGCGACUGACGUUGAGGCCCGAAAGCGUGGGGAGCAAACAGGAUUAGAUACCCCGGUA